GCCUCGGUAGUCUAAUUAGCUUAGGACGCUCGUACGGAAUACAAGAGAUCCGGGUUCGACUCCCGGCCGAGAUA
rnacentral:tRNA from 1 species